UACGGAGGGUGCAAGCGUUAUCCGGAUUCACUGGGUUUAAAGGGUGCGUAGGAGGGCAGGUAAGUCAGUGGUGAAAUCCCCAAGCUUAACUUGGUAACUGCCAUUGAUACUAUCUGUCUUGAAUACCGUGGAGAUGAGCGGAAUAUGUCAUGUAGCGGUGAAAUGCUUAGAUAUGACAUAGAACACCAAUUGCGAAGGCAGCUCGUUACACGAAUAUUGACUCUGAGGCACGAAAGCGUGGGGAUCAAACAGG
rnacentral:rRNA from 1 species